GGAGAGAUGGCUCAGUGGUUAAGAGCACUGACUGCUCUUCCAGAGGUCCUGAAUUCAAUUCCCAGCAACCACA
rnacentral:tRNA from 1 species